UACGUAGGGCGCAAGCGUUGUCCGGAGUUACUGGGCGUAAAGAGCGUGUAGGCGGGUACGCAAGUUUGGCGUGAAAGCCCCCGGCUCAACUGGGGAGGGUCACUCGAUACUGAUCGACUCGAAGGCAGGAGAGGGUAGUGGAAUUCCCGGUGUAGUGGUGAAAUGCGUAGAUAUCGGGAGGAACACCAGUGGCGAAGGCGACUACCUGGCCUGUUCUUGACGCUGAGGCGCGAAAGCUAGGGGAGCAAACGGG
rnacentral:rRNA from 1 species